rnacentral:rRNA from 1 species
GUCACUUAUGGAUGGACCCGCGUCGCAUUAGCUAGUUGGUGAGGUAACGGCUCACCAAGGCAACGAUGCGUAGCCGACCUGAGAGGGUGAUCGGCCACACUGGGACUGAGACACGGCCCAGACUCCUACGGGAGGCAGCAGUAGGGAAUCUUCCGCAAUGGACGAAAGUCUGACGGAGCAACGCCGCGUGAGUGAUGAAGGCUUUCGGGUCGUAAAACUCUGUUGUUAGGGAAGAACAAGUGCUAGUUGAAUAAGCUGGCACCUUGACGGUACCUAACCAGAAAGCCACGGCUAACUACGUGCCAGCAGCCGCGGUAAUACGUAGGUGGCAAGCGUUAUCCGGAAUUAUUGGGCGUAAAGCGCGCGCAGGUGGUUUCUUAAGUCUGAUGUGAAAGCCCACGGCUCAACCGUGGAGGGUCAUUGGAAACUGGGAGACUUGAGUGCAGAAGAGGAAAGUGGAAUUCCAUGUGUAGCGGUGAAAUGCGUAGAGA